AAUCAACGCUGGCGGCGUGCCUCAGACAUGCAAGUCGAACGCGAAAGUUCCCUUCGGGGGAUAAGUAGAGUGGCGUCCGGGUGAGUAACACGUAGGUAAUCUACCUUUGGGUGGGGAAUAACAACCGGAAACGGUUGCUAAUACCGCAUAAUGCAGCGGCACCACAUGGUGACAGUUGUUAAAGCGGGGGAUCGCAAGACCUCGCGCCUAAAGAGGAGCCUGCGGCGGAUUAGCUAGUUGGAGGGUAACGGCCUACCAAGGCAACGAUCCGUAGCCGGCCUGAGAGGGCGGUCGGCCACACUGACACUGAAAUACGGGUCAGACUCCUACGGGAGGCAGCAGUCGGGAAUUUUGGGCAAUGGGCGAAAGCCUGACCCCAGCAACGCCGCGUGAAGGAUGAAAUCCCUCGGGA
rnacentral:rRNA from 1 species